CAAGUCCCACCUGCCUAAAGCUUAGCCAGCGGGGCAGUAGUGAAACCUGAGGGCAAAACCGGUAACGGGAGUCCGAAGCCAGGUGGAUCAAGGAUGCAGGCUCUGUAUAGAGCCCCGAAAAAUGUAUAGUUGUGGACUGAAAGGAUAAGCUACCGGGCAACCGGGAGCAAAAGCCGACGGCUUCGAACCGUACGGAAGGCAGUAAACCUGGAUGCGUCACGGCAAGUGUUCAGGUUUCCACCGGGGUCUGAGACCA
rfam:Deltaproteobacteria bacterium RIFOXYD12_FTLL_50_9 rifoxyd3_full_scaffold_1139, whole genome shotgun sequence.